rnacentral:misc_RNA from 1 species
GGCACAUAAAUAUUAUGAUGAAGUUGCUCUUCCAAAGCUGGUGGCAGAUUUUGCAUCGCUUGAACUUUCUCCAGUUGAUGGAAGAACUCUGACCGACUUCAUGCACACAAGAGGGCUUAAAAUAUGUUCCUUGGGACGCGUAGUUGAACUUGCGGAGAAGCUACCUCAUAUACAAUCUCUAUGUAUUCAUGAGAUGGUGACUCGAGCU